GUCAUUUAGAAACAGAAGAGAGGCCAAUUUGCUGGUGAUUGCCAUAAAUUCAACGCCAGGCUUCUGAACCAGACACCUCGGUUAGAUGUGCACCAACAGCAGCACAAGAGAAGAACUUCACAAGAGAAGGUUGUAACGAUGCAGAGAGCUGCACACCUUUCUCCGGCUUUCUCCAGGUCCGGUCUGGCUCCGAGCGUGCGGAGGCUUGGAAGCAGAAUUUAGAACUCGCAGUGGCGUUCCAUUUCCUUCCACAAGAGGGGGAUCGCCUUUGCUCGAUGCUCCCAAGAAAGCGAGAACGUGGCUUUGAGACGGGCUCAAAGCAGCAGCAUAGAGCAUCGUGCGCGUUCCUGCCCACAGCAACAGUGCUAAGAAAGGCAGGCUUAACUCGAGCGAAGCGUCAGCCACACGUUCUGGAUCACGUUGUAUAACAGCGGGCUGCAAUGUCAAGUGAAGAUGCUGGGAUUCUGGGGAGGAGACUUCACACCAGCACCAGCAGAGUGAUGUAAGUUCCCCAUGCAGCAGAGGGAAGGGACAUGCACUGCUGGGGCCAGAUGGAAGGCAGGCUGUGGCAGACUGAAGACAUGGGCAGAGAAAGCCCAGCCACCAGAGGAGGAGAUGACAUAGGGCUUGUCAAGGCCCACCAGCCCGUGAUGGAAAUGGGUGGCCAAUUUAGCCUAGUGGUGAACGUACAGGAUGGAUCUACAUCCUAAGUAACAACGUUGUUUAAUUAAAAAAGAAAAUAAAAAAGUUAAUGAAGCAAGUCUUGUGCCAAUAAAUGGUAAAUUAUCACUGAAAAGGCUUGAUACACACUCAUCUAGCAUA
ensembl:lncRNA